rnacentral:lncRNA from 1 species
GCUGUUACCUCCAAACUUGAUGCUGCUAUUGUUGGUUACAAAGGAGGCUGGAUACUCUCACAGCUAAUUGCUGCAAUCUGUCAUCUCUGAGAUUUAGGGAUUGGGUUUUCUUCAGGGGAUCUUGGUGUUCCCCAAGGCCGGCCGUGGGGCUGGCAGCCACCUCCUGUGGGCCACGUCUCUCAGAGGUCAGAGCCUGCCACCAGUGGGGUCGGACCACCACAAGCACAUUUGGUGGCUCUGGGGCUUUCUGGGCCCUGAAGAGGCAGUUGACAGAAAUAAGCAGCUCAGUUUUGACCGUGGCAAAGCCUCUGGUGAAGCUCAUGCCAGGGAGAGAGAGGAGGGGAGAUAAGGGCCUGCAAAGGCGCUGGAGCAACAGGCACAGCCCUGUGAUUAGGACAGCAGGACAACGGGUGAGUAGGGCAGCAGGAAUUGCACAGAGAGAUUAUGGCAUGGGUCAGGCAGGAGGGAAGUGUUCAGGGACUUUGCUGUGGUGUCCUUGGUGUUACUUUCUCAGACUGGAUGGUUACACAGGACAGCAGAGAGAGAUUCGCAGGAUGAGCAAUGCCCAACAGGUACCCCCUGAUGAGGCAAAUGUUGCUCGACUUCCACCAGAGAGCACUAUCGCACUACUUGCUAUCCCCCUGUUCUCUUGCACUCAACUUUGAAGGUAAAGUUUAAACUGUGGAAUAUUCUUCAAUUUUGCAUGUAAAAUUUGUUAUUCUAUUACAGUUUUAUUUGUAUCGGUCUAGUCAUUUAUAGAUAGAUAUUUUACAGGAGUUAAGUGGUGUAGAGCCAUCCAGACAAUGUAAUCAUCCUUUUGUCUAAUUGCUCACUUACUGCUUUAUUCUACUGUAAAACAGAACUUCCACUAAAAUAUUACCUCUGAGUGGCAACAGCAAAUUGAAAAUGGCAUUCUUCAGUUCGCAGUUUUCAUAUUUACACAGCACUCUUGUAAGACCUCACCUGAUGAAUAUGUCUGAAGAUCUUGUCAACCCUUUCACAAACCUCCCAGUUAACUUUUGUCUUUACCUUCCUAUUUACAACAAGGUCUGCUGAAUACUGACUUCAGCAUUUCUACAAGCAACAGUCUGCUCCUCAUUGCUUCUUACACUGUUUUUCAUCACUUCGAACCCGAGCACUUUCCAUUGUUGUGACCAUGAACACAGUUGCAUCACAUCCUCAGGCUAGCAAAGACGCAUCUUUGUUUUUCUAUUUUCUUCACAAUGUAUAAGCUGUUAUACAUCAGUUUAGAAAUACGGCAAAAUCUAAUAAAAUGCAGCUUGCCCUUGGAAGAAAGGGUUUG